GAUCAUGGCUCAGGAUGAACGCUAGCUACAGGCUUAACACAUGCAAGUCGAGGGGUCUCAAGGGAGCUUGCUUCUGCGAGACGACCGGCGCACGGGUGAGUAACACGUAUGCAACCUGCCCUUGUCAGGGGGAUAAGCGAGGGAAACCUCGUCUAAUACCGCAUAUAUGAUUUAGAGGCAUCUUUUAAUCAGGAAAGAAUUAUCGGACAAGGAUGGGCAUGCGGGACAUUAGGUAGUUGGGGGUGUAACGGACCACCAAGCCGACGAUGUCUAGGGGUUCUGAGAGGAAGGUCCCCCACACUGGUACUGAGACACGGACCAGACUCCUACGGGAGGCAGCAGUGAGGAAUAUUGGUCAAUGGGCGAGAGCCUGAACCAGCCAAGUCGCGUGAGGGAAGACGGUACUAAGUAUUGUAAACCUCUUUUGUCAGGGAACAAAGAGACCACGUGUGGUAAGAUGAGUGUACCUGAAGAAAAAGCAUCGGCUAACUCCGUG
rnacentral:rRNA from 1 species